rnacentral:rRNA from 1 species
GACGAACCGUCCAAACGCUAUUCGGCAUCACAGGGCUUAAAGGGUGCGUAGGCGGCGCGGAAAGUUGGGUGUGAAAUCCCUCGGCUCAACCGAGGAACUGCGCCCAAUACUACCGUGCUCGAGGGAGAUAGAGGUGAGCGGAACUUAGGGUGGAGCGGUGAAAUGCGUUGAUAUCCUAAGGAACACCGGUGGCGAAAGCGGCUCACUGGAUCUCUUCUGACGCUGAGGCACGAAAGCUAGGGUAGCGAAUGGG